GGACUACAAGGGUAUCUAAUCCUGUUUGCUCCCCACGCUUUCGCGUAUCAGCGUCAGCAACGAUCCAGAGGGCCGCCUUCGCCGCCGGUGUUCCUCCUGAUAUCUACGCAUUUCACCGCUACACCAGGAAUUCCACCCUCCUCUAUCGCGCUCCAGCCAGCUAGUUUCCGACGCACUUCCGGGGCUAAGCCCCGGGCUUUCACAUCAGACUUGGCCGACCGCCUACACGCCCUUUACGCCCAGUCAAUCCGAACAACGCUUGCACCCUCCGUCUUACCGCGGCGGCUGGCAC
rnacentral:rRNA from 1 species